GGACUACCGGGGUUUCUAAUCCCGUUUGCUCCCCUAGCUUUCGCGCCUCAGCGUCAGUAGAGAUCCAGCAGAGCGCUUUCGCCACCGGCGUUCCUUCUGAUAUCAACGCAUUUCACCGCUCCACCAGAAGUUCCCUCUGCCCCUACCUCCCUCGAGCGAACCAGUUUCCAAGGCACUUCCCCAGUUGAGCUGGGGGCUUUCACCCCGGACUUGCUUCGCCGCCUACGCGCCCUUUAAGCCCAGUGAUUCCGAACAACGUUCGCACGGUUCGUCUUACCGCGGCUGCUGGCAC
rnacentral:rRNA from 1 species